rfam:Anas platyrhynchos breed Pekin duck contig221987, whole genome shotgun sequence.
ACUGUGCUCGUGCAGCGGUCAGUGCUCUGCGCUGUGGCCGCAGCGACCUCGGUUCGACUCCGAGUCGCAGCA